AUCAGCUAGCAACCCCAACAGACGCCGUCCGUCCGAGGAAGCCAAGCCAUCGUGCAAUCUGCGCCCUAGUCCAGCCAGCCAGGCCAGGAGCAAGGGGCGGAGCUAUGGGCAACUCCGGCAGCACAGCCCCCGCACCGCUAGGAAAGACCCAUGUUCCAGAUUUGGAAUGGAAGGUUCAUGAUUUCUCAGCGCUACUUGAGACGGAAGCUACGUCGGCGUCAUCUACUCCUUUUCACUGCUCUGGGUAC